AAGUCGAACGAUCUCUUCGGAGANAGUGGCGGACGGGUGAGGAACGCGUGAGAAUCUGCCUCAAGGAUGGGGACAACAGUGGGAAACUACUGCUAAUACCCGAUGAGCCGCAAGGUAAAAGAAAUUCGCCUAGAGAAGAGCUCGCGUCUGAUUAGCUAGAUGGUGGGGUAAAAGCCUACCAUGGCAACGAUCAGUAGCUGGUCUGAGAGGAUGAGCAGCCACACUGGGACUGAGACACGGCCCAGACUCCUACGGGAGGCAGCAGUGGGGAAUUUUCCGCAAUGGGCGCAAGCCUGACGGAGCAAUACCGCGUGAGGGAGGAAGACUUUUGGGUUGUAAACCUCAAAAAUUAGGGAAGAAGAAAGUGACGGUACCUAAUGUAAGCAUCGGCUAACUCCGUGCCAGCAGCCGCGGUAAUACGGAGGAUGCAAGCGUUAUCCGGAAUUAUUGGGCGUAAAGAGUCCGUAGGCGGCUAGUCAAGUCUGCUGUUAAAGACCGAAGCUUAACUUCGGCAAGGCGGUGGAAACUGAAGAGCUAGAGUACAGUAGGGGUAGAGGGAAUUCCCAGUGUAGCGGUGAAAUGCGUAGAGAUUGGGAAGAACACCAGUGGCGAAGGCGCUCUACUGGGCUUGUACUGACGCUGAGGGACGAAAGCUAGGGUAGCGAAAGGGAUUAGAUACCCCUGUAGUCCUAGCAGUAAACGAUGGAUACUAGGCGUAGCUUGUAUCGACCCGAGCUGUGCCGAAGCAAACGCGUUAAGUAUCCCGCCUGGGAAGUACGCACGCAAGUGUGAAACUCAAAUGAAUUGACGG
rnacentral:rRNA from 1 species